AUUGAACGCUAGCGGCAGGCCUAACACAUGCAAGUCGAACGAGUGGCGGACGGGUGAGUAAUGUCUGGGAAACUGCCCAAUGGAGGGGGAUAACUACUAGAAACGGUAGCUAAUACCGCAUACCAUCGGAUGUGCCCAGAUCGGAUUAGCUAGUUGGUGGGGUAACGGCUCACCUAGGCGACGAUCCCUAGCUGGUUUGAGAGGAUGACCAGCCACACGGGAACUGAGACACGGUCCAGACUCCUACGGGAGGCAGCAGUGGGGAAUAUUGGACAAUUGGCGAAAGCCUGAUGCAGCCAUGCCGCGUGUAUGAAGAAGGCCUUCGGGUUGUAAAGUACUUUCAGCGGGGAGGCGGUACUCGCAGAAGAAGCACCGGCUAACUCCGUGCCAGCAGCCGCGGUAAUAC
rnacentral:rRNA from 1 species